GGGCUAUUAGCUCAGUCGGUUUAGAGCAUUUCCUUGAUAAGGAAGGGGUCGGUGGUUCAAGUCCACUAUAGCCCU
rnacentral:tRNA from 1 species